GAUGAACGCUGGCGGCGUGCCUAAUACAUGCAAGUCGAGCGAACGGACGAGAAGCUUGCUUCUCUGAUGUUAGCGGCGGACGGGUGAGUAACACGUGGAUAACCUACCUAUAAGACUGGGAUAACUUCGGGAAACCGGAGCUAAUACCGGAUAAUAUUUUGAACCGCAUGGUUCAAAAGUGAAAGACGGUCUUGCUGUCACUUAUAGAUGGAUCCGCGCUGCAUUAGCUAGUUGGUAAGGUAACGGCUUACCAAGGCAACGAUGCAUAGCCGACCUGAGAGGGUGAUCGGCCACACUGGAACUGAGACACGGUCCAGACUCCUACGGGAGGCAGCAGUAGGGAAUCUUCCGCAAUGGGCGAAAGCCUGACGGAGCAACGCCGCGUGAGUGAUGAAGGUCUUCGGAUCGUAAAACCCUGUUAUUAGGGAAGAACAUAUGUGUAAGUAACUGUGCACAUCUUGACGGUACCUAACCAGAAAGCCACGGCUAACUACGUG
rnacentral:rRNA from 1 species